GAAAAAUUGGAAAGGUGAGAUAAAGCUAACCUAAUAAUUCUAGUCCCCAGUCAAGAGCCUGGAUAAUAAUGAAUUUGUACUUUCCAGUGACACAGCCUUGUGCUAAGAAUCAAAAUCCUUCUGAAAGCCAGGAUAAAUAGUAGUUCCCAAGACAACUCUGAAGCUGUACAAGCAGAUCCUUUGAGGAAUUUCCAUAAAAUACAAAUGACAACUGCAAAAAUAAGGAGUUCGUUUGAAUCUGCAGAGGGACAUAAAUAAAAAUGAGUGAAAUGAUGUCAAAAAUGAUAGAAAGUAGUUGCAGAAGUAAGUCACUAAAAGGGAG
rnacentral:lncRNA from 1 species